rnacentral:lncRNA from 1 species
CCAAUGUGCCUCUUUUUGACUGGCAUGUUAAAUUUGCAUCUUAUUUUUUUCUUCUUUUAGGGGGAAAAAAAGCUGCUGCUUUGAAGUUCAGCAAACCAGAUGGCAGAUAUUCUGAAAUAUUUUCCAGCCAACAAAGUGAGUCGUCUGUCACCUAUUUUAAUAAGCAAUAAGCCCCGUGGAGUCUUUGGUAAAGAAUUGUUGUUUCUGGUUUAAGAGGGAAAAGCAGAGGAGAAAGAGAUUUUAUAGCUGAUGAUAAGAUUUAAUUAGAGGACAUAGAAUCCUGGUGAGUAAAGAGCUGGCUAUGCUUAUUUACCUUGCUCAAAGCGUCAGCCUAAGAUGUUUUGCUGUUCUGAUUGGAGAAGACAGGCAUCCUGGAAAGAAAGAAUUAAAGGAGUGUCUUGUCCAAAGGCACAAAACAUCUUUCAAGAGGAAGUCCCACUGGAGGGGACAUCUGAGAAGCCCAGUUCCAUCUUGCAGAAGAUGGCAUCUAACCAGGGGCAUAAAAGAUCUACCCGUGUGGAAUAUGGAUACUUCAGAAAUGACAAAUAUCCCAAAACCAUGAGUCAACCUACUUUGUCCUACUGACUGAUGCAUUUUCAUAAGGAGUUAAGGGAAAUUGGCAUGGCAACCCAGCCUUCAGCAACCCCCAACCUGAUCAAUCAGUGGCCAUCAACGUGGAAGCAAGACCCUCCACCACCAAAAAGAUUGCAGCUCACUGAAGACGAUGAUGGUUAGCAUUUUUUAGCAAUAAAGUAUUUUUAAUUAAAGUAUUGCA